rnacentral:rRNA from 1 species
AACGAACGCUGGCGGCAGGCCUAACACAUGCAAGUCGAGCGCCCCGCAAGGGGAGCGGCGGGCGGGUGAGUAACGCGUGGGGACGUGCCCUUUGCUAUGGAAUAGCCCCGGGAAACUGCGGGUAAUACCGUAUAAGCUAUACGGUGGUCAGAAUUAUCGGCAAAGGAUCGGCCGGCGUUGGCUUGGGUUGUUGGUGGGGUACUGGCCUACAAAGCCGACGAUCCAUAGAUGGGUGGAGAGGAUGAUCAGCCACACGGAGUAGGAGACACGGCCGAAACUCCGGGGGGAGGGAGCAGUGGGGAAGCAUAGACAAAGGGGGGAAGCCUGAUCUAGGCAUGCCGCGUGAGCGAUGAAGGCGUUAGGGUUGUGAAGCUCUUUCGUGGGGGAAGAUAAUGACUGUACCCCAAGAAGAAGCCCCGGCUAACUCCGUGCAACCGGCGGCGUAAGAC